rnacentral:tRNA from 1 species
GGUUGUGGCUCAGUAGUAGAGUGCUUGCCUAGCAUAUAUGAGGCACUGGGUUCGAUCCUCAGCACCA